rnacentral:ncRNA from 1 species
AGGUACCGCUCUCUCAUCUCUCGGUCGCACCCGGUACAGGUGCAUGACCAUAGAGA